rnacentral:rRNA from 1 species
AUGCAAGUCGAACGCAGUAGCAAUACUGAGUGGCAGACGGGUGAGUAACAUGUGGGAAUCUGCCUUGUGGUUCAGGACAACAUUGGGAAACUGAUGCUAAUACUGGAUAAGCCCUUACGGGGAAAGUUUUAAUGCCAUAAGAUGAGCCCGCAUUUGAUUAGUUAGUUGGUGAGGUAAUGGCUCACCAAGACAAUGAUCAAUAGCUGAUCUGAGAGGAUGAUCAGCCACACUGGGACUGAGACACGGCCCAGACUCCUACGGGAGGCAGCAGUGGGGAAUCUUGCACAAUGGAGGAAACUCUGAUGCAGCGAUGCCGCGUGAGCGAAGAAGGCCUUUGGGUUGUAAAGCUCUUUUGUAGGGGAAGAUAAUGACUGUACCCUAAGAAUAAGGUCCGGCUAACUUCGUGCCAGCAGCCGCGGUAAUACGAAGGGACCUAGCGUAGUUCGGAAUUACUGGGCGUAAAGCGCGCGUAGGCCGUUGAGUUAGUUAAUUGUGAAAUCCCAAAGCUUAACUUUGGAACUGCAAUUAAAACUGCUCGACUAGAGUUUGAUAGAGGAAAGCGGAAUACAUAGUGUAGAGGUGAAAUUCGUAGAUAUUAUGUAGAACACCAGUUGCGAAGGCGGCUUUCUGGAUCAACACUGACGCUGAGGCGCGAAAGUAUGGGUAGCAAAGAGGAUUAGAUACCCUCGUAGUCCAUACCAUAAACGAUGAUUGCUAGAUGUUGGAAAUUUAUUUUCAGUAUCGCAGCUAACGCAUUAAGCAAUCCGCCUGGGGAGUACGACCGCAAGGUUAAAACUCAAAUGAAUUGACGGGGACCCGCACAAGCGGUGGAGCAUGUGGUUUAAUUCGAAGAUACGCGCAGAACCUUACCAACCCUUGACAUGUCUGUCGCGAGUUUAGGAAACUAGACUUUUCGGUUCGGCCGGACAGAACACAGGUGCUGCAUGGCUGUCGUCAGCUCGUGUCGUGAGAUGUUGGGGUA